rnacentral:rRNA from 1 species
UACCAGACUCCUACGGGAGGCAGCAGUGAGGAAUAUUGGUCAAUGGCCGAGAGGCUGAACCAGCCAAGUCGCGUGAGGGAAGAAUGUCCUAUGGAUUGUAAACCUCUUUUGUCAGGGAGCAAAGUCACCCACGUGUGGGUGUUGGAGAGUACCUGAAGAAGAAGCAUCGGCUAACUCCGUGCCAGCAGCCGCGGUAAUACGGAGGAUCCGAGCGUUAUCCGGAUUUAUUGGGUUUAAAGGGAGCGUAGGUGGAUUGUUAAGUCAGUUGUGAAAGUUUGCGGCUCAACCGUAAAAUUGCAGUUGAAACUGGCAGUCUUGAGUACAGUAGAGGUGGGCGGAAUUCGUGGUGUAGCGGUGAAAUGCUUAGAUAUCACGAAGAACUCCGAUUGCGAAGGCAGCUCACUGGACUGCAACUGACACUGAGGCUCGAAAGUGUGGGUAUCAAACAGGAUUAGAUACCCUCGUAC